rnacentral:rRNA from 1 species
GACAGAGGCCUCGAGCGUUAGGCGGAAUCACUGGGCUCAAAGCGUGUGUAGGCGGGCCCGUAAGUGUCUUGUGAAAUCCCACGGCUCAACCGUGGAACUGCUGGGCAUACUGCGGGUCUUGGGCCAACUAGGGGCAGCCGGAACAAGCGGUGGAGCGGUGAAAUGCGUAGAUAUCGCUUGGAACGCCGAAGGUGAAAACAGGCUGCUGGGGUUGCGCCGACGCUGAGACACGAAAGCCAGGGGAGCAAACGGG